rnacentral:rRNA from 1 species
CAGCAGCCGCGGUAAUACGUAGGGUGCGAGCGUUAAUCGGAAUUACUGGGCGUAAAGCGUGCGCAGGCGGUUCGUUAAGACAGAUGUGAAAUCCCCGGGCUUAACCUGGGAACUGCAUUUGUGACUGGCGAGCUAGAGUAUGGCAGAGGGGGGUGGAAUUCCACGUGUAGCAGUGAAAUGCGUAGAGAUGUGGAGGAACACCGAUGGCGAAGGCAGCCCCCUGGGCCAAUACUGACGCUCAUGCACGAAAGCGUGGGGAGCAAACAGGAUUAGAUACCCCUGUAGUCCCUGUCUCUUAUAC